rnacentral:rRNA from 1 species
AUUGAACGCUGGCGGCAGGCCUAACACAUGCAAGUCGAACGGUAACAGGAAGAAGCUUGCUUCUUUGCUGACGAGUGGCGGACGGGUGAGUAAUGUCUGGGAAACUGCCUGAUGGAGGGGGAUAACUACUGGAAACGGUAGCUAAUACCGCAUAACGUCGCAAGACCAAAGAGGGGGACCUUCGGGCCUCUUGCCAUCGGAUGUGCCCAGAUGGGAUUAGCUAGUAGGUGGGGUAACGGCUCACCUAGGCGACGAUCCCUAGCUGGUCUGAGAGGAUGACCAGCCACACUGGAACUGAGACACGGUCCAGACUCCUACGGGAGGCAGCAGUGGGGAAUAUUGCACAAUGGGCGCAAGCCUGAUGCAGCCAUGCCGCGUAUAUGAAGAAGGCCUUCGGGUUGUAAAGUACUUUCAGCGGGGAGGAAGGGAGUAAAGUUAAUACCUUUGCUCAUUGACGUUACCCGCAGAAGAAGCACCGGCUAACUCCGU